AGGGAGGCCCCCACGUCUGUUCCUGUCAGGCCCCCAUCAGGGGACUUGGGCAGGGUUCCUGUUAUCUGCUCAAGAUCCCAAGACUGUAAAAGUACUUGUUCACUGAAAGGGUGUAAGUGUAAAUAUUUAUUUGAUGUUUUAAACAUCUCUGUCUGUUUGUUUGCUGGAAACUUUGAUUUGCUAUGUGAUAUUCUGUGCUGGGUUGGGCUUUUGGAAUUCUGGGGUAGAUUUAAAAGGUAUUUGUGGCUUUUCUAGUCUGAUUGGGACAUUUAAGGGUGGGGCUCACAGUUCCUCAGGGCAGAGAUUUCAUGGGCCCUUCCCCCUGCCUGUGCUGAAUUAAAUAGUACAGGCCAGUGUCAUUUGGCUUGCUGGUUAAA